GAGCGCGGAGGCGGUGGCGCCUGAGGGAGCGCGGCCGCCAUUUUGUACCUCCUCGCUCGCUCCGGGGCGGUCGCGCGGGCGCUGCGGUUCUGAGGGAGCGCUCGGCUCUCCUGCUCUGUAGCUCGGGGUCGCUACCACAGCCAUGGGACGUAAGAAGAAGAAGCAGCUGAAGCCUUGGUGCUGGUAUUGUAAUAGGGAUUUUGACGAUGAAAAAAUCCUUAUACAGCAUCAGAAAGCAAAGCACUUUAAAUGCCAUAUAUGUCAUAAGAAACUCUAUACAGGACCUGGUUUAGCUAUACAUUGCAUGCAGGUACAUAAGGAAACAAUAGAUGCUGUUCCAAAUGCUAUUCCCGGAAGAACAGACAUUGAACUGGAAAUCUAUGGGAUGGAGGGCAUUCCAGAAAAAGAUAUGGAGGAACGGAGGAGGUUACUUGAACAAAAAACUCAGGAGAGCCAGAAAAAGAAACAACAGGAUGACUCUGAUGAGUAUGAAGAUGACGAAUCUGCGGCUUCGACUUCAUUUCAACCCCAGCAGGUUCAGCCACAGCAGGGGUACAUUCCCCCAAUGGCACAGCCUGGUCUGCCUCCUGUGCCAGGUGCUCCAGGGAUGCCUCCAGGUAUUCCGCCAUUAAUGGCAGGUGUUCCACCUAUGAUGCCUGGAAUGCCUCCAGUUAUGCCUGGAAUGCCACCUGGAUUACAUCAACAGAGAAAAUACAUGCAGUCAUUUUGUGGUGGAAACAUGAUGAUGCCAAUGGGUGGAAUGAUGCCUCCUGGGCCAGGAAUCCCACCUCUUAUGCCUGGUAUGCCACCAGGUAGGUCAGGGUUGUCGAACUCGUACUAUGGUAUGCCUCCCCCCGUGGGGCCGCGGCCUGGCAUGCCCCCAAUGACACAAGCCCAGCCUGUCACAGCUCCAGGCAUCCUUAACCGGCCUCCAGCUCCUGCUGCAACAGCACCCACCCCACAGCCUCCAGUCACUAAACCACUCUUCCCAAGUGCGGGGCAGAUGGGGACACCUGUCACAAGCUCAAGUGCAGCUUCCUCCAAUUCAGAAAGUCUGUCAGCGUCUUCUAACGCUCUGUUUCCUAGCACAGCACAAGCUGCAGCAGCUGUGCCAGGGCCAGUUGGUACUGAUUUCAAACCUUUGAAUUCUACACCUGCAACGACAACAGAGCCCCCAAAACCUACAUUCCCUGCUUACACACAGUCCACAGCCUCAACCACUAGCACCACCAACAGUACUGCAGCUAAACCAGCCACAUCUAUAACAAGUAAGCCUGCUACCCUCACCACAACCAGUGCAACCAGUAAGUUGAUCCAUCCAGAUGAGGAUAUAUCACUGGAAGAGCGAAGGGCUCAGUUGCCCAAGUACCAGCGCAAUCUUCCUCGGCCAGGACAGGCUGCCCUGGGUAAUCCACCAGUUGGACCAAUUGGAGGUAUGAUGCCACCACAGCCAGGAAUUCCUCCACAGCAACAAGGAAUGAGACCUCCCAUGCCACCUCAUGGUCAGUAUGGUGCUCAUCACCAGGGCAUGCCAGGAUAUCUUCCUGGGGCCAUGCCUCCAUACGGUCAGGGACCUCCGAUGGUGCCCCCGUACCAAAGUGGACCUCCUCGACCUCCCAUGGGAAUGAGACCCCCCGUAAUGUCGCAAGGUGGCCGCUACUGACGCUCCUACUCACGCUCUAAUAGGUUUGGAGAUUAAACCUUUUCUCAUCUUGUGCUGUUAAUAUAGCAGAGCUUCCGUCAAUUAAGGCUUCAUUGUGACUUUAAAAAUAUAAGUACCUUCCCAGAUGCAAGGAGCUAUUGGACAUUCUUAUUUUACAUGGGAAAAAUUAUUUGGAAUAAUAACAGGAACUUUUCCUGAUGUUGCAAUUUAUACUGUAUGGCUUCUUUUUCAUGUUUCAUCUAGGUUUUUAGAAGUGAAGUAUAGUAAAUAUGGUUCGUUAAAUUGUGAAGGCGCUGGAAUUACAUGAACAUACCACCUUAAAGCCCUGCCAUAGGACAGGCUGAGGCAGAGUCUCAGUGUUGCCCUGUUCAGUCUGAGGCAAGUGGGAUUUAUUUUAUUCAUUCUGGGGGCUUUCACAGCUUUAUGGCUGUUGGAUAUUUAUGUCCCCAAACUUGCAGCAAGUUUGGUGAAGGCCCCUAAAUUUAUUUUAAUUUAGGUUUUUUAUUCUCUUUUGGUAGAUGGGCUCUAUAUUAAUAUUUAUCUUUUUAUUAUCGUUGUGAUUUUAAGAGUCUUAGGGGGAGGGAGGCUGUUUAAGAUGUUUGGGUACCUUUUCUCUUGGAAUGCAUUUCCUUUGAGGCUGCUCAGGGGUCCUUCAGCCACACUGCCCCUCCCCACCUUUCCCUGCAUUGCAUUUGUGCUGUAUUUGUUUGGGGUUUGGUAGUGUUGACUUUGUGUAGUCUCUGAAUUAGUGGCAUGUAAAUACCAAGUACUAAUGUUUCCUCCUCUGGGGAGAUGUAUCUGUUGAAGUGCUUAAAAUAGGUUUUGCCCAGCAGGUGACAUUUAUAGGCACCAAAUUGUGUAGCCCAAAUUCCAGAACAGUUUCUUUGCAGAAGGUUGAGAUGUUAAUCCUGCUGCAUACGUGAGCUGCACCUCAGCAAAUAUUAAUGUAGAGCCCUGGGAGGAGCCUGAGGUUUGAUCCAAGUUGGUAACACAGAAUAGAAGAGUGAGAAAUGGAAGCUGCAGAUUUCUCUUCUGGAGUUUCUGGAAGAACCUUUUCCUCAACCUCUCCAAUACACCAAACUCAACAGUGUUUUGACUGUUGCAACAAUAGUGAAAGUCACAGCAGUUUUCUUGAAACUUUGUGGAAUUCUGUUGCAUAUUCAAAAUUUGCUUAGUUAUGUUUAUUUGAAGUUCCUUCUCUCACACAGUGACUAGCAAAAAAUUGUACCCUUUGUGAAGGAAAAGCUGCUCACUCUGGUGCAGAUACAUUGAAGCUUGAGGUUGCUUAAAGACAACUUCAGCUUCAGAAGAGCAGGUUUUGUCCAAGGAGAUCUUGCAGCCUAUCAGCAAUGAAAUGGAAAAUAAAUGUAGGAGUCUAGUUUUACAAUUUUUUUUCAGGUUUUCAAAAUCUAUGGUAGUUUUUGAUGAGCAUACAGUCUGUCUCAUUUCUUCAAGAUUUUGCUAAAUAAUGGCCCCCAGUGGGAUUUUCAGUAAUUUGAAUUCAAGGACAGAGUUGUAAUUCUUAACUUAGAAGAGUGAUUGCACAUUCCUGUUGUGCCCUUCUUUGCUUGUACUCUGCCCUUUGCAUUUUUCCUGGAGAAGGCCCCUCCAAGUCACCCAGUCUGGAAAAUUGUCCUCUGACUGUUCCAAAAUAGUUACUGAGCAUGGCCUUGCUUUUCUAAUUCUCAUUGUGGUGCUCUCCCAGUAACAGUGAAGAUGAGAACAACUCUUCAGCUAGGAUUUGUUUCACUUUCUUAGUUUACAGGAGCAUUUGGUUUAUUCUUAUUUCCCUACAAUGUCCAAGGAAACUGUUUAACCCAAAAUAAUAGUGUGGGUUGUACUUCUUACUUUAAGUCUGAAUCUUGUGGAGACUCAAAGUGAAAAAUAGGCAAAUUUCAAAUGCCUGAUCCUGAACUUUUUUUCCCAGUUUCCAUUUAAGACUGAUCCAGCACUAGGUGGACUUUAUCCAGCUCCUCAUGUUCAGCCUGUCAUCAAGCCCACAAAGCUAAAAUUCAGAUACAUGUGCUGUCUUGUGUCCAGUGAGGUACCCACUUAGAUCCACACUGGGGUUAUGCCUUAUAAAUUGAUACCCUGGUGAGAGCUGAAAGUUUCCCAGUUCAGGGAGAUUGCUUUUAUCUGGUUUUGUUGAAGUUAUUUUUUUCCCCAUGAACAUGUCAAAUCAGUUCUCCAAAAUGCAGUUCCUGUUUUCACUGUGUCAUUGUUUAACCUCUGUAUACUAAUCCUUCAGAGCAAAUGAACCAUUUCUUUGUGUUUUGGCAUGUUUUGUGAGCAAAAUAUAACAUUUUUUCAGCACCACGUUGCUGUGGGAUUUUUUUCCUUAAAGGUGCUUUUAAGCAAUUCCAGGAAGUUUAAUUUCACACUACCUGCUUUUGAAUGAUGCAUUUGACAUUAAGACAGUUCUCUGGGGCGUUACUGUAUGAAUUAAAGGUUUUCUGACUGGAUUUUCCUGCUCCACUGCAAACAGUGCUUGUGGUUUCUGGUGGGUAGUUCACCCCCUUCACUUCCCCUGGGCAUUCCUGUCCUUUCUGUAAGUCACUGAAGGACUGGAUGGGACAGGUCCUGUUUCUUCCCUCUUUGGGAGUUGGUAGCAUUGGCAGAUGGCAUUGGAGUUAUUCUGAUGUUGCCACAGACUGAUGUUUGUCCUUAAAUUGGCAGCAAUAAUGACUUUCCUUUGCUUUGUGUUUUGUCCUUAAGUGACAUGUGCAAGUGCUGCUAUCCUUGUAGUCCCCAGGAUGGCAUAAAGUGCUUUUUGCUGGGAGUAUCUCCUCAGCUGUUAGACCAGCUGGCCUCUCAUCUCUUUGAAAUGACUCCUAAAAGUCUCAUCUGGUGUAAAUGGUUCAUGUCUUGCUCUUUUUGUGACGUUUCCUUAGUGAUAUUUUCCUCCCUGCCUCCUCGUGUGGAUCUAAGGGGGAUAGUUAAAAUAACUUGUAGUCUUUAUUUUGAGGGAUGAAGUGUGUUCCUCCUUGCAUUCCAGUAUUGCAGCAGCUUGUGUAUCACGAAGUUGUACAUCUCACUGUUUGUGAAUUUUCUAAUUAUGGCAAUAUUUUAGUGACUUUUAUAGAUAUUAACAGAGGUAGGUCUCGGAGUUCAGGGGUUUUUUAAGCUUAAGUAGAAGUACAUGACUUUUACUCAAGGGGCAGGAGUUACUGAUACUCUGCUAAACUGGGUAAAUUUGCACCCGUGUUAAACAAGAGAAGUGAAUGGGAGAUGUGGUAAAUAAAGUACACACCACACAUGAGGGACUCCAAAAAAAUCUGUGCUUGCCAUCAAAAUACUCAGAGCAGUGAAACAGUACCUGGGUUCUAUAGGAAUGCAGUGACUCCCACAUUGUCUGCAGUAGCUGGGCUGGGGAGGUUGUUCAGAGUAAGGGAAGUUUUGGGGCAGCUGUUGAAGGGAUCAGGAUGAAUUCAGGUGAUUCUACAGUGUAAUGUGAUAACAUUCUUUUGGAGGUCCUGAGGAACACGUGGGGUUUCCUUGCACACUGUGAGCAGCAGCUCUGGGCAACCUUGGUUGGCAGAGCCCACAUUCCCAGGAAGGCUGGGCUGGAGGAAAUGCAGUUUUGCUUUAAUCUUGUGCCCGUGUGUCUGAGGGAGCUGGGCACUGGAGCCUCAGCCAUGUCCUGUCCUGACUGCAGGAUCCAGGGGGUUAUCCUUGGGAUUUGUUCUGGGCAUCCUGGGAGGCAGUUCUGACUGACCCUGGUGUGAAUAGCUGGAGGGUUGGUAUUUAUAUACCUGGUCCCUGCUGUGAGUAGUGAGGCACUGGCACCUUCUGAACAAGCUUUCAGGAACCUCUGACAUUCUUAGGGGCUUGUUUGCAGUGGGGACAGUCAGCAACAUGGCUGUUUUAGUGGCAGGGAAUUUAACUUCUCCAGAAAUACAGUCUUGAACUUAAGGUUUUUUAAGAAAACAGAAUUUUAAUGCCAGUAUCAUCUUGACUGAAAGUGAGAAAGUACAAACUUUGAGAGCUUGAAAGCUUAAAAAUUCUCUUGUUGGCAGCUAAACAAGGUCUAACUGCCUUAGAAGGGAUUCAAGCUUCUGAUAUCUCAAAUUUUUUUCCUUGAAUUUUGUCUAAAUCUUUACCAUAUUCCCAGGUGCUAUUCAGAAGGGGGUGGGGGUGCUGUGUAGAAUUUCAACUGCUCCUGCCCUUAGUAGCCAAUAUGAGUAGCUGUUUUUCGGUGACAGUAAUUUUGAAUUACCAGAAAUUAGUGCAAUACAACCAGGGGAAGCUAUUUCACUGUCUCCCAACUUAAAAAAUUACAUAAAGCUUUGAGUUCAGGGUAUCAUGCAGAGCUUUUUUUCUUUCUCUUUUUUCAUUGAGUUACUUGCACUGAAUUCUUUAGCUUCUUUCUCAUAAAUCUAAGUGGAAAAAAAUACAUUUUGCUCUUUCAUUUGUAAAGUCCAGAAUAAGAAAACACACUUUAUGAGACUUAAAUGAAGGAACCUGGCAAUGUAAGUAUUGUAAUUUCCUUUAUGUUUGUGGUAGGCAAUAGGAUGACCUUGUUAAAUUUAUGGGUUAUGUAUGAAAAAAUAUCAGAAGAGUAAGGGCAAAUUGAAAAUGAUUUUAUAAUUGCCUUUACUUCAUAUGCUUUUCUUAAGCAACAAAUUGCAAUAAUUGAAGUUUGGCAGCUUUUUCUUUUUUUUUUUUUUUAAAUAAAAAACUAAAUUAUGGGUUAAACACCUUGGUUUAAUACAAUUUGUGUUUCUGUUAACUAGCAGCAGAAUUUCAGCAUUUGCUACUUACUGGUAGAGAAGAAAAAUUCCACAGCACUGCCAGUACAGGUUAGUUUAAUCUGUAAGUACCUGAUGUUCCUAUUUGAAUUAAUUUGUUCAAAUGAUACCACUUAAAUACAUGAGGGGAAUUUUGGUCUCUGAACUGUGAUUGUUAUCUACUACUGAUUUCAGUAGUGAGUGAACAUCUAGAUUUUUUUUUUUGGAAGAUCUGUAAUGGAUUUAACUGUGCUUGUGGGCAGGUAAUAAAUACCUGCAAGCACCUUUAAGGAAAAUUUAAUACAGAACCUUAACAAAUACCCUUUGAUGUUACUGGAAAGUUUUGAAAUCACUUCAGUAACAUGCCUUUAUCGAUGAGGCUGUUUUUUAUCAGCAAACCAACAGGAUCCUGUGUUUGUUGUGUUGGGGAUUAAGCAUUUCUGUUUGUAAACUCCAUAGCAGUAAUGUAAUCCUUGGAUUUUCUUUAGCUAUUACUAAUUACCAUUUCCUACCAACAGAUUUUUACUUUGCUAGGCCUGUGAGCCAGGAGCUUGUUCUUCUCUGCUUUUUUUAAUCAUUAUUUUUGUUAGUCCAUUGCAGCACUUCAGAGGCUACCUACAAAUGUGGUUUUGUCCAGCUGUUUUAUCUUACUCCAGAGUUACUGCUGUGCCUCUAUUUUACUUCUGCCCUAUCCCAUAUUCUCAGAUAUUCUGGCAUUUUAUUUUUAUUUUAUAGAAUAUUUUACACCUUAAAACAGGAGAGGUUCUUUGUGAUGGGAUAGAAGAUGCACCUUUCUCCAGAAUGGCUGCAUCCAUCUAUUUUUACUUAGACUUUAUGUAUCUCCUUUCUACAUAUCAGCACAGGAGAUAAAAGCUUUUUCUGUGCUGUAGCACCAAGCAUAGAUCCACAGCUGGAUGGGCUGUAGAUCUGUGCUUUAAUUCACUUUUUAAGGCCAUGUUAUCACACUCUGAGGGACUUUUGACAUUGUAGGUGGAUAAUUCCAUAGACAGUAGGUACUGGGAGGGUCAGAGUAAAGUGGGAGCUGAACAGACACUUCAGUUGUGCAGCUCAUCUGGAGGGGCUGGAGUGAGUCUAUGAGUGUCUUGCCACUUGCAGUGGUACUGUUUAUUUUAGAAUUCUGGAAUCUUACACAGUGCUGCAGAAUUCAGACCACCACACACACUUUCAAGGGGAUUGUGUCUUCCCAGGCUCACAGGAGUUACACUUGCAGCCCAUCUCUGGCAUCUUCUUUACACCAGUUCUCAGUACUUCACACUAAACUGCUUUGUCUGCAAAACUAAUGUUGGUUGCACAGAUGCUUCUCCCUAGCAGGAAAAAAAAGGGAAGUCCUAUAUAGUGAAAUUUCUAACUUAGCUUUACCUGUAUUUGCUUCACCUUGGUGGCAGGUGUGUGUGAGCAGUAGGGAUCCCUUGCUGUGAGGCCAUUCUGGUAACAGGGUGUAUCCACGUUUCUUGUAACCUCUGUGGGUGACCCCAGUUCAUACUGCAACACUGAGUACUGAGCUGGGCUGAGGAACUGAUGGCUCUUGGCUGCUCAGGUACCUCAUGAAGUCCUGGUUUUCACAGUGGUUGGGUGCCACCUGCACUGCUGGUACCCCAGCCUGGCAGUCCCUGGGGAUAACUAAGGGGUACAGUGUGUUCCAGACUGUCUUAACCAAAACCAAGUGCAUCUGUCCAGGGUAGGUCCUGCUAGACCUCUGGUGGAACAUCAUCUCUGGGAUGUCCAGUCUCAAGUGGUUCAGCACUCUUCUUCCCCAGUUCUGGUACAGUAUAUGUGGAAGAGGUUGGCAUUUCCCACUAUUUCCUUAGACUUCUUGCUGACUCCCAAUUGCUCCUUCAGGGUUUCUGGACACUGUGCAGUGAACCCAAACUGAGCAAACUCCAAGCUGGUUUUAGUACCUUCAUAGAGCACGUGAGUGAGUUGUCCCCUCUCAGUAGCAGUACAGCCACAGAAAUGAAUGUGUUGUGAAGGUUUUUUCUGUCACUUGAUACUGCUUUCGUGUAAGUGGUGUGAAAGGGCUGGGAUUACUGAUCUUUUUCAAAAGACAGGUGGUGGCAAAAUACUGAUGUUGAAUUUAAUUGGACAAAGUGAGAGACUGGUAAGUAUGUGCAUCACUUUAAUGCAUGCAAAUAGUAACAUAACUAGCUUAAUUUUAUAGCAUUCAGUUUACAAAGAAGAUUCAAAGAAAACAUGGAGCAAACAUUUGCAUCCACUGGGAACCUUGUAUGAACUGUGUGCUUCAGCAAUGGAUCAUUGCACAUAUCUGUAAUGUGUAACCACUUUGUAACAGUGUCUGAUUAAAAGAAGUGAACCACUG